AUGAACGCUAGCGACAGGCUUAACACAUGCAAGUCGAGGGGCAGCACAGGUAGCAAUACCGGGUGGCGACCGGCGCACGGGUGAGUAACGCGUAUGCAACUUGCCUAUCAGAGGGGGAUAACCCGGCGAAAGUCGGACUAAUACCGCAUGAAGCAGGGGCCCCGCAUGGGGAUAUUUGCUAAAGAUUCAUCGCUGAUAGAUAGGCAUGCGUUCCAUUAGGCAGUUGGCGGGGUAACGGCCCACCAAACCGACGAUGGAUAGGGGUUCUGAGAGGAAGGUCCCCCACAUUGGUACUGAGACACGGACCAAACUCCUACGGGAGGCAGCAGUGAGGAAUAUUGGUCAAUGGCCGAGAGGCUGAACCAGCCAAGUUGCGUGAGGGAUGAAGGUUCUAUGGAUCGUAAACCUCUUUUAUAAGGGAAUAAAGUGCGGGACGUGUCCCGUUUUGUAUGUACCUUAUGAAUAAGGAUCGGCUAACUCCGUGCCAGCAGCCGCGGUAAUACGGAGGAUCCGAGCGUUAUCCGGAUUUAUUGGGUUUAAAGGGUGCGUAGGCGGCCUUUUAAGUCAGCGGUGAAAGUCUGUGGCUCAACCAUAGAAUUGCCGUUGAAACUGGGGGGCUUGAGUAUGUUUGAGGCAGGCGGAAUGCGUGGUGUAGCGGUGAAAUGCAUAGAUAUCACGCAGAACCCCGAUUGCGAAGGCAGCCUGCCAAGCCAUUACUGACGCUGAUGCACGAAAGCGUGGGGAUCAAACAGGAUUAGAUACCCUGGUAGUCCACGCAGUAAACGAUGAUCACUAGCUGUUUGCGAUACACUGUAAGCGGCACAGCGAAAGCGUUAAGUGAUCCACCUGGGGAGUACGCCGGCAACGGUGAAACUCAAAGGAAUUGACGGGGGCCCGCACAAGCGGAGGAACAUGUGGUUUAAUUCGAUGAUACGCGAGGAACCUUACCCGGGUUUGAACGCAUUCGGACCGAGGUGGAAACACCUUUUCUAGCAAUAGCCGUUUGCGAGGUGCUGCAUGGUUGUCGUCAGCUCGUGCCGUGAGGUGUCGGCUUAAGUGCCAUAACGAGCGCAACCCUUGCCACUAGUUACUAACAGGUAAAGCUGAGGACUCUGGUGGGACUGCCAGCGUAAGCUGCGAGGAAGGCGGGGAUGACGUCAAAUCAGCACGGCCCUUACAUCCGGGGCGACACACGUGUUACAAUGGCGUGGACAAAGGGAAGCCACCUGGCGACAGGGAGCGAAUCCCCAAACCACGUCUCAGUUCGGAUCGGAGUCUGCAACCCGACUCCGUGAAGCUGGAUUCGCUAGUAAUCGCGCAUCAGCCAUGGCGCGGUGAAUACGUUCCCGGGCCUUGUACACACCGCCCGUCAAGCCAUGGGAGCCGGGGGUACCUGAAGUCCGUAACCGCGAGGAUCGGCCUAGGGUAAAACUGGUGACUGGGGCU
rnacentral:rRNA from 1 species